CCCGAAAUUUGCGGUUUCUGGCCAGUUUGACCAUUUGUUUGAUCAAAUUAAGGGACUUUUUGAUCAAUUUUGAUCAAUCUUCGGAAGUAAGUCCGGGCGUCUCUCGGAGUUUUCCCCCGGAAUUUCUGGAAAAACCUGAAUUUUCUCGGAACUUUGGCAAAUUAGAAUAUGUUUUUGGAAAUCGGAAUUAUUUAGAAAUCUUUUGAUAAAAUAAAAUGGCAGCACUGCUUGGAAUUUAUACAGAAUAUUCUGCUCAUUGAGAAGAAAAAUCGAUGGAACCUUUAAGAAAUUACGAUGGCUGGUCUUUAAAGAAAUAAUAAAGCGUUGCAGGAAGUCUGCAACGUUGCAAAUGGAGAUACUUGGCUUCGCGUUUUGGCCAUCGAUAAGAGACGGCUUCAUGGAGACGUGGGCGAUUGCAUUUGCAGCUCUGAACUUCUUUAGAUUAUUGAAAUUAGGUGUAAAAAUGCAUGACCACGCAACUUCUCGAUAAGAUAUCUCUUUCUUGAUAUGGAGCGCAGCCUUAUCACUGCUUGUCAGAAACAGUAUUUACGUAGGAGUACGGUUAGUCUAGCAAUGACGGUUGUGGUUAAGGUAAUGGAUUGGGAUGGUACGCGUUUUGCUUGUUGCAUUUUCGCCAAUUAGCAGGCGUUCUAUGAGUUAGCCGUGCUUAUGCAUCCAUUAUUGAUGAGAAUCUUUAGAUCAAAUUACGAACAAAAUCUUCCGAAAAAUUGCAAAAGAAAUAUUAACCAACUUUCCUGGACAUUCGUGAUUCGCCGAAGGAAAUUUGGUAACACCUGAUGGCUCAUACGGCGUUCUUCCAUAUAUUGUGUGACUUCAAUUGACUUCGACCUGAUUUGAGAUGAUAUGGAAAAAGUAGAGUAUCUAUACCUGUCGUGUUCACAUGAGGUAAUGCUGAAAUGGACAAAAUUUUGUUGUCAGGUUUCAAAACUGCUUUCAGCUCCCGAACCAAAGCGCUGAAGCCUUCCCGGUAAACGGACUGCUCCUCGCGGAAUUUCUCUUUCACCAAACCAAACAAACCCUUUACGCUGCUGAUGAAUCCGGAUUCUGGAAGAAAAAAAAUUAACCUUUCUCACUGACACGAUGCUGAAUUUUUCCGGGCAAUUGACGACAAAA